ACUUCAUCUUCGAGACCGCUCGAGAGCAGACGAUGCCGCGGAAUUUCGAGAAGAGAGAAAUCAGACGACUAAUUUAAAACUUUUUUAAGUGCUGACAAAUUAAUUUUAAUUGAUUCAUUUUCGAACCCAAUGGCCGGCCAAGGAUUUUUUUAUGUUUGUUACGCCUCAGUGGAAUGGAACUUUUUAUAAAUGUGUUAUUUAUUUCAAAAUAAGUGUUCAGAAUUCCAUUUGUUGCACAGUGCGUGGAUUUUGAUGCUUUUUAUUCCAGCGAGUUGGAUUGUUUAAGCUGAAUCGACUUUUAAAUUUUCGAUGCGUGCCAGCGGAUGCGUAAGGAGACAUUUGUCUCCAUGGUUACUUGUUGAUGCCACAUGUUAAUAUUCAGGUUUCUUCAAAUUACUUCCCUAGCGCACCUGUGUAGUAUAUUCUUCGAAAUGGUAUCGUGUCACAGUCUGCCUAUCGAUUUGGAGAGGGAUGGCCGGACGAUACUAGAGGACUCGAAACACAUUCGAAGGACCUAUAAACUGUAUAACCAAUGCAGUGGUAACCACAUACAGAUCUUCG